UUAGGACCCACGUACACACACACUGACUACUUUAGGACACACAGACCCACACACACACACUGACUACUUUAGGACACACAGACCCACACACACACACUGACUACUUUAGGACACACAGACCCACACACACACACUGACUACUUUAGGACACACAGACCCACACACACACACACUGACUACUUUAGGACACACAGACCCACACCCACACACACACACACUGACCCCCCCAAAAAAAUCAGGACGAUUGAAAAACAAAUGUUGAAAAAAUAAAACAAGAUCAUCGCUAUCGAAAUAAAACCCUAUAUAUCCAAAAUGAAAACGUUUUUUAAAUAAAUGGGAGGGAGAAAAAAACUACCAUUUAACCAUUGUCUUGGCAGACGUUACUACUGCCAUUGUUGUUCUGCGCUUUAAAAUCGCUUUUUUGGGAGAGGUAUUUCAUGUGUAAUAUUGUUAUUAUAUUAGCUAACUACAGUAGAUGGAAAUUUGAUUAUGUUGUAUGUUUAACACUAUGCUGAACCUGUUUUGUACAUUUCAUUGACUCGCUGUCUUCAUUGGUCAAAAUGUCUUUAAGAUAACAGUAUAAGGUGUUCGUCAGGGUUGGGGUCCAUUCCAAUUCAGAAAGUUAACCAAAUUCCAAAAUGUUCCUAGUUAAAAUACGUUGCAGAGAAUUGGAAUGGAAAUUGACCCCAAAACCUUGGUGGGCCGUCUUUAUCGCCUCAUGACCAGAACAUCGACAGUCAUUUUUUUUUGUUCGUUUCCUGAUGAUUGUACAUGUUGAGUCACCGCCAGUCGUUGACACCACGGGCGCGACUGUCCUGCUGCUUUUUAGAGGUUUGUUUCUUCCUGGUGUGUUUCAGUUAGAAGAAGACACACGGUAACAAACAAAAAACUACUGACGCUGAGGUUGAGCGAUCAGUCAUCUUACGUCAUCUUAUGACGUGACACAAAGCGGCAUAAACAUUCGUAAACCUCUUAUUUUUAUUUUUUUUACGGCUCUCUUGUCUUGCGUCGUACGUGAUUCUAUCGGGUGUAAUGUGGUGGCGGUGUUGCCUAUAGCAACCUUCCAAGCGCUCUCCACGCCUGCAUCCUGAAAGGGAAAGGGCGAUACCUAGUCCCCCUAGCCUAAUGUAGAGGUCAAAGGGCGAUACCUAAGUCCCCCUAGCCUAAUGUAGAUGUCAAAGUCGUGGACUUUUUAGAACACAGGAAGUCUUUAAAUCUAUGAACACUCUGUCUUAAUAAUGGGACUGACUGGCUACUUGUAAGGGGGGCUGCCUGCGUUCUGCUAAGUCAUGUUGCAGAGUUGGGUAGCCCUGAAAAUUGCACUGUCAUUUGUCACGUCACAUGCCCCUGAACAAGGCAGUUAACACACUGUUCCUAGACCGUCAUUGUAAAUAAGAAUUUGUUCUUAACUGACUUGCCUAGUUAAAUAAAAAUAAAAAAAUUGGAUAAAAAGCUGAGCGACUUAAGAGACCGAGAUGGUUAUUUGAAUCUGUAUAUUGAAAGAGUUUCUGAAAAGUGUUUCGUGUUCGAUGUAUGCCCAUUAUAUACCUAUAUUAUCUUGUAAACCAUAUAAUGAUUUGCAUGUAUGAAUGGCUUUUAGAUGUCAAACUAGUUACGGCUUCAGAAUGACAUAGGAAAGAGUUGUACAUAUAUAGCCUUAUAUCUGUGUCCACUGGGAAAGAGCUGUACAUAUAUAGCCUUAGAUCUGUGUCCACUGUUGUCACGUGGGCUAUUAUAAAGGCUCAUUCUAUACUAAUCCAUUGCUGUUAUCACUGACACAAGUUGUUCUACUUUUCAUCCUUCUCACGUUUUGAUUGACAUUCACGCCUCUGAUCAGUGCAAUUCUUUAUGGGGGUUGGAGAAAAAAAAUAUAUAUAUUCUGUUUAAUCUAAGUUAAAUAUUUUAGUUUUUCUAUCGUCUCCGUUUUGAUUUCUUCUGUCUUUUUCACAUGAACCUUUUAUUGAGUGAUUUAAAUGAUAUAUAUAAUGUUUUCUAGGGCAUUAAAAAGAUGAUUGUGCUAAAG
rnacentral:lncRNA from 1 species